rnacentral:lncRNA from 8 species
CCCAUGCUCACCUGAGAGAUAUUCACGUGAUUGACAAUAAAUAAAAAAAUUCGGUUACAAUAAAAUGGUCAUAGACUGUCAAUAAUAAGCAACAUUUAUUCCCACAAGGCAGGCAGUAUGAGUGUAUAGGCCUAAACCUAUAUGCCAACAAUCCAGACCUGCCUACCACAUCUGAAUCCCGCACAUUUUGUUUCCUUUCCUGCAAUUCCUGCAUCGUCGUGUUCAUGGGAGAAGGAAGGGAAAAGUUUGGUCAUCACAGAGUUACCUGUCAGUCAUCGAGAUCCGGUGUGAGAGGGGGCCUUGUCGAUCGGCCUGCCUUUCAUGUGACGAAGGAUGGAGCCGCUCAAUUAAAAGCCUAUCAAAGUAUUCUGCUGUAUCACAUUCAAAGGAGGAUCCACUGCUCUAAAUUCUAGUUUAAAUGGAUGUGCCAAUCAGCUGUGGAUAUGGAACGGGCCCAGGAGCAAAGCUGUAAUGUAUUCCCAGGGUGCAAUGGUUGUCGUAAAUACAAGCAUACAACCAUAUUGUUGAGCGGCGGAUCAUAUUUUACACUGUUAACACGCCAUCUGGUUCUCCCUAUAAGCAUUCAUUACACAUAAUGGAACACACUCUACAGGCAGGGUACUGCAGAGUACACCCUGUCACGCACAAUACGAACACACACACAGCACUAGAAGCUUUCAGAGUGUAAACAGGGGACAGGGUUCAAAUGAGGGUAAUGCAUAACAAAACACCAGAGAGAGAGAGAGAGAGCGAGCGAGUGAGCGAGCGAGAUAGAGAGAGGGGUGGGAGGGGGGGUAAAGCACUACCCCUUUACUUCUCUGCAGCUGAUGCUGUGCCACAGCUGUACAUGACAUUGUGACAUUCCUGAAAAAUACAAAGGAAAACGCUGCACAACGCUGUUCAUGUAUCCAGGUGAUUUUAUUGUUACAACAUUUCAACCCUUAAGUCAUUAGGCAUCCAUAUCCCAGAUGGGGAUAUGUCCUAUAUAUAGGGGCAGUGCUCAGUGACAUCACUUCCUGAAACAGGAGGUAAAAACAUAUAUCGGUUCACAAUAUUAACAUUCAAUAUAUAAAAAUAUAUAACCAUACAUGUGGAAAAGGUUUGAGUGGGAUAAUGCGGACUACAAGUAGCAGAAG